CUCCCUGAUCUCAGUGCUGGUUCUGAAGGUUCUGGUUCUAAAGGUUCUGGUUCUGGUCCAGUCUCACCGGGUGAUGUACUGGAACAGCUCCCUGAUCUCGGU